GACGAACGCUGGCGGCGUGCUUAAUACAUGCAAGUCGAACGAGGUUGAUUCAGUGGUAACACUGGUGACUGCCUAGUGGCGAACGGGUGAGUAACACGUGAGCAACCUGCCCCGAAGACCGGGAUAACAGCGGGAAACCGCUGCUAAUACCGGAUGCCCUCACCGGGCCGCAUGACCUGGUGAGGAAAUGAAUUUCGCUUCGGGAGGGGCCCGCGGCCUAUCAGCUUGUUGGUGGGGUGAUGGCCUACCAAGGCGACGACGGGUAGCCGGCCUGAGA
rnacentral:rRNA from 1 species